rnacentral:rRNA from 1 species
AGAUCGAAUGGGGAGAUUCAUCGUCAGCGGCGUUGGCUUCCGUGUGGAUCGCGAUGGCCGGGACCUCGGUUCCGCGUCACGCGUCCGCUGCGGUAUGUCCGACGUCGUCGGCGUGCACUUCUCCCCUAGUAGGACGUCGCGACCCGUUGGGUGCCGGCCUACGGCCCGGUUGGUCGACUGUCGCGUCGCGUUUACGCGUGCACGCGGCAGACCACCGGUCGCCCGGCCGGCUGCCCGGCGGUAUAGAUCGCUAUAAAACGGUAUUGGGCCGCAUUAAGUGCGUUCUGGCUCGUCGGCAGGCUCGUCUCGCUCGGAUUUACGGACCUAGUGCCGUUGCCGGGCGCUUGGCGUGGCCGUUAGUCGACGAUGUC